rnacentral:lncRNA from 1 species
CGCCCCGGGACCGCGCGCGCGCGCGCGCGCGGGAGGAAGCAAACGUCGUACCUGACGAGUCCCCGUCGUCCACUGCUUUCCCGCCGCCUCAGGACGCCACGCCGAGCGGAAGUCCCUCUCGGAUCUCCACAGCUUCUGCACGAGGAGCUUCCAGACUCUUCCGAGCGUUUCCUUCUCGGGACUGGGAGCGGAAGCUGGCGGAGUCCGACUGCAUCUGCUUGGAAACCGGACUCGGUCCAGGGCCGGAAUGGGUCCGACAUGGAAACCGGACCAGGUCCAGGGUCCGACUGGGUCCUCCUUAGAAACCAGAGCAGCUCCAGUUUCUGGUGACCAGGAGAAGACCCCCUGGCACACGAGACUCGCUCCAGGCCCCACGGAAUCCUGGGACACGGCGGAAGCCAGCCCAAGAGAGGCAGACAGAGAGAGAGGAAGGGAAGCAGACUCCCUGCUGAGCAGAGAACCCCAUGCGGACUCCAUCCCAGGACCCUGAGAUCAUGACCUGAGCUGAAGGCAGAGGCUUUACCCCACUGAGCCACCCAGAAACCCCUCUUCUCCCAAUUCUUAAGUUGAAUUGUUUCCUUACUGUUGAGUUUUAUGAGUUCUUUGUGCAUUUUACAUGCAAGUCCUUUAUCAGAUAUGUGUUUUACAAAUAUUUUCUCUUAGCCUAUUGCUUAUCUUAAUUUUCUUAACAGUGUCUUUUAUGGGCACAAAUUUUUAAUUUUAAUAAAGUCUAACCUACCCAUUUUUCUCUCAUGAAAUAUGCUUUAUGGUAUUGUAUCUAAAAACCCAAGGUCACCUAGGUUUUCUUCUGUUAUAUUCCAGUGUUUUAUAGUUUGUGUUUUCUGUUUAGGUCUAUGAUUUUUUUUUUUUAAAUAGGUCUAUGAUCUAUUUUGAUUUAAUUUGGGGAAAAGAUGUGAAGUCUAUAUCUAGAAUUUUUUUAAUGUGGAUAUCCGGUAUUUCUAACACCAUUUGCUGAAAAGAUUAUCUUUUCGUCAUUGAAUUGCCUUUGUUUCCAUCUCAAAGAUCAAUUGACUCUAUUUGUGUGAGUCUAUUUCUAGGCUCUCUAUUCUCUAUUCUUUUCUGUUGAUACACUUGUCCAUCUCUUCUCCAAUACAAUGCCGUCUUGAUUACUAUAGCUUUAUAGUAAGUCUUCAAAUUUGAUGGUGUCAUUCCUCCAAUUUGGGUUUUUUUUUUUUUGGUAUUGUAUGGAUUAUCCUG